rnacentral:rRNA from 1 species
UGAGGAAUAUUGGGCAAUGGGGGCAACCCUGACCCAGCGAUGCCGCGUGCGGGAGGACGCCUUUCGGGGUGUAAACCGCUUUUCUGUGUGAAGAGGAAGGACGGUAGCACAGGAAUAAGUCACGGCUAACUACGUGCCAGCAGCCGCGGUAAUACGUAGGUGGCGAACGUUAUCCGGAAUUACUGGGCGUAAAGGGUCCGCAGGUGGGUAGUCAAGUCGCAUGUGAAAGCCCCCGGCUCAACCGGGGGAGGACGUGGGAAACUGGCUGUCUAGAGUCCGACAGAGGUCGGCGGAAUUCCCGGUGUAGUGGUGGAAUGCGUAGAGAUCGGGAGGAACGCCAAAAGCGAAAGCAGCCGGCUGGGUCGAGACUGACACUGAGGGACGAAAGCGUGGGGAGCGAACAGGAUUAGAUACCCCCGUAGUCC